CAGCAGCCGCGGUAAUACCGGCAGCACGAGUGAUGGCCGAUAUUAUUGGGCCUAAAGCGUCCGUAGCUUGCUGUGUAAGUCCAUUGGGAAAUCGACGCGCUCAACGCGUCGGCGUCCGGUGGAAACUACACAGCUUGGGGCCGAGAGACUUGACGGGUACGUCCGGGGUAGGAGUGAAAUCCCGUAAUCCUGGACGGACCACCAAUGGGGAAACCACGUCAAGAGACCGGACCCGACAGUGAGGGACGAAAGCCAGGGUCUCGAACCGGAUUAGAUACCCGGGUAGUCCUGGCUGUAAACAAUGCUCGCUAGGUAUGUCACGCGCCAUGAGCACGUGAUGUGCCGCAGUGAAGACGAUAAGCGAGCCGCCUGGGAAGUACGUCCGCAAGGAUGAAACUUAAAGGAAUUGGCGGG
rnacentral:rRNA from 1 species